rnacentral:lncRNA from 1 species
CUACAGUACUUUGAAACCACUCGAUAAUACAUAGCGUGGAUUUUCCGAGUCCUGCUUCCACACGUGAGCUACCAGCGAGCAUGUCUCAGGCUGUGAGAAUGGAUAAGGACAGCUGGAAGCAAUGGUGUUCUUCUCAGCCGGAACCCGGUGUGGUCAGUGUGCAGCCUGACACUCGAAACUCAUUCAUCUUCCUGUAUCCCUCUUCAUGUUGCAGCACACCAAGGCUUUGGAUUCCUUCAGCACUAUUCGAUUACAUGAGACAAGCUUCUUGAUCUGAGCCACCACUUUCCUGAGUGAAGGUCCAGGAACCAAACAGCUGGGAGAGAAGGCCGUUGCCAAAUGCCUCCUGUGUGAUCAGUUUCAACCCACUGAGCAUCGUCUCGCUUGCAGCUGGUCGUCCCAUGAUUUCGGAAACGUAAUGGUAGAUCAGCUAUCUGGAAUCUGCCCAGAGGUAGAAGAGGGUGUUGGAAACCAAGUCUUUUCAUUAGCCUAAACCAUAUCACAAAGAGGCAGUACGGAUGCUCCUAGUCGAACGGCUGGGCCAUUGAGUGCUUCAGCAAUACGCAGCUUAGGCUCAACAAUAGCAUUCAGGAAUUUCCUUCUAUCAAACCACGAAACAGUCCCGAACCUGGGCCCAAUCGCAUCUACUCUGUACUUGAGAGACGAGACAAGAUUGGGAACGUUCACGGUGGUAUGACUGUAGAUUGUUCACGACGUUUCCAGUGGCUUCUGCCGUUUUAAUACUUGCUCUCUUUCUGUCCUCUGUCAAACGUCGUAAAAAAUAAAUAAGGCCAAGUGCACCCCAGAAGACCCUACCAAUGGUGCUGAGCAGUACAAGCUUGCUGUAGUUUCUGGAGUUAAAUGAUAGCAUUCACGAAGUUCCUUCCAUCCAAUACCCUGUGCUACCUCCGGGAAGAUUGCAGAUACCUGACCUAGCAUUACAUUUCCGAAAUAAUGGGAUGAUUUGUUCAGAGUACUCCCGAAUAAAUAGCGUGAAUGUUCCCGGUCGUGCUUCCAAGCAUAAGCUACCAGUGAGCUUGUCUCAGGCUGUGAGAAUGGAUAAGGACAGCUGGAAGCAAUGGUGUUCUUCUCAGCCGGAACCCGGUGUGGUCAGUGUGCAGCCUGACACUCGAAACUCAUUCAUCUUCCUUUCUAAGUCCUUUGACAUGGAGUCCAACCCUUGGGCAGAACCCCAGAUUUUCUUCAGUACUUCACAUGUUCUCUCGUUCCAGAUCCCUCUUCAUGUUGCAGCGCACCAAGGCUUUGGAUUCCUCCAGCACUAUUCGAUUACAUGAGACAAGCUUCUUGAUCUGAGCCACCAAUUUCCUGAGUGAAGGUCCAGGACCCAAACAGCUGGGAGAGAAGGCCGUUGCCAAAUGCCUCCUGUGUGAUCAGUUUCAACCCACUGAGCAUCGUCUCGCUUGCAGCUGGUCGUCCCAUGAUUUCGGAAACGUAAUGGUAGAUCAGCUAUCUGGAAUCUGCCCAGAGGUAGAAGAGGGUGUUGGAAACCAAGUCUUUUCAUUAGCCUAAACCAUAUCACAAAGAGGCAGUACGGAUGCUCCUAGUCGAACGGCUGGGCCAUUGAUUGCUUCAGUAAUACGCAGCUUAGGCUGAACAAUAGCAUUCAGGAAGUUCCUUCUAUCAAACCACGAAACAGUCCCGAACCUGGGCCCAAUCGCAUCUACUCUGUACUUGAGAGACGAGACAAGAUUGGGAUUGUUCACGGUGGUAUGACUGUAGAUUGUUCACGACGUUUCCAGUAGCUUCUGCCGUUUUAAUGCUUGCUCUCUUUCUGUCCUCUGUCAAAACGUCGUAAAAAAUAAAUAAGGCCAAGUGUACCCCAGAAGACACUACCAAUGGUGUUGGGCAGUACAAGCUUGCUGUAGUUUCUGGAGUUAAAUGAUAGCAUUCACGAAGUUCCUUCCAUCCAAUACCCUGUGCUACCUCCGGGAAGAUUGCAGAUACCUGACCUAGCAUUACAUUUCCGAAAUAAUGGGAUGAUUUGUUCAGAGUACUCCCGAAUAAAUAGCGUGAAUAUUCCCGGUCGUGCUUCCAAGCAUAAGCUACCAGUGAGCUUGUCUCAGGCUGUGAGAAUGGAUAAGGACAGCUGGAAGCAAUGGUGUUCUUCUCAGCCGGAACCUAAUGUGGUCAGUGUGCAGCCUGACACUCGAAACUCAUUCAUCUUCCUUUCUAAGUCCUUUCACAUGGAGUCCAACCCUUGGACAGAACCUCAGAUUUUCUUCACUACUUCACAUGUUCUCUCAUUGGCCUGUUCCAGAUCCCUCUUCAUGUUGUAGCGCACCAAGGCUUUGGAUUCCUCCAGCACUAUUCGAUUACAUGAGACAAGCUUCUUGAUCUGAGCCACCAAUUUCCUGAGUGAAGGUCCAGGACCCAAACAGCUGGGAGAGAAGGCCGUUGCCAAAUGCCUCCUGUGUGAUCAGUUUCAACCCACUGAGCAUCGUCCCGCUUUCAGCUGGUCGUCUCAUGAUUUCGGAAACGUAAUGGUAGAUCAGCUAUCUGGAAUCUGCUCAGAGGUAGAAAAGGGUGUUGGAAACCAAGUCUUUUCAUUAGCCUAAACCAUAUCACAAAGAGGCAGUACGGAUGCUCCUAGUCGAAUGGCUGGGAUAUUGACUGCUUCAAUAAUAUUCAGUUUGAGUGAUAUGAUAGCCUUCACGAAGUUUCUCCCAUCCAAGUACUGAAGAUGCCCUACCCUGGGCGCAGUCUCGUGUACUCUGUACUUCAGUGACCAGAGGAGAUUGGAGCAUUCACUGUGCUAUGGCCGUAGAUUAUGUACAACGUUUCUGGUAGCUUCUCUUCUGCCAUUUUAAUUCUUUCUCUUUUUCUAUCAUAUUGCGGGUCAUAUGGUCAUAGAUUAUUCACUAUGUUUCAGAUAACUUCUUUUACUUCAGUAACAGGUUUUUUGAACGGAGUAAUAGUAUUCACAAAGUUCUUUGUGUCCAUGCACUAUACAGGGCAGAUACUGCUGAGCUUCUGAUAUCUGAAGAAAUCGUGCGUGUUUCGGAUGGUAUGGCCAUGGAUUAUUCACGAAGUUUCUGUUAGCUUCUGCCUAUUUAACACUUUCUUUUUUUCCUUCACUUUCAGAGUGAUAUGGCCAUAGAUUAUUCACGACGUUUCUGAUAGGUUCUCCCAUUUUAAUGCUUUCUCUUUUUCUGUCAUCUGUCAAACACUGCAUAAAAUAAAUAAAGUCAAGUCCACAACAGAAGACACUGUUAAAGGCGCUGAGCAGUACAAGCUUGUUGUAAUCAGCAGUGGUUGUCAGAGCUGGUAGACUUUUUUCAUUACAGCUGUAUUUACUGAGUUAUUCCCUGUUGAUCUAGUGAAUAAGAUGCGGGUGAAGCCAUCUUUUGUCCCGACCACAAUAACUCUGUAUCCAUAGGCCCUUUCUGUUUGCCUCACACUGAAAUGCAAUCAUUUGUUAAAAGGCUGUUCUCUUCUGUUGUCAAUAAAUUUCCUUUUACUGACAGUUACUUCUGUAACAGAUGUCUGUAUGUUGCUUGUCCCACUGGCUGUUAAUGCAUCUAUGAAUGUAGAUGUAGCUUUCCUGUUAACGAGUAGGCCUGUGGCCAUGGCUGCACUUACGGGGCCAUGCACCUGAGGCACUAGCAGGUGUAUCCAGGCUUGCUCCCCAUCCUGGCCUACUCAGCACCAUGGCCCAAUAAAGCUUUGUCUGGCUUUUCCGCUGCCACUUUGGGUACUACCAUUCCUCCUGACCCUGCUCUGUGGGGUCCAGUUUUUUGGGGCUCUCACUCUGAAAGCCAUUCACUGCGUCCUGCUUAAUGGGGCUCUUAGGCAUGAGGAUCUUGAUACCUGACUUCACUAGGUCCAUUUUCAUCUGGCUGCAGAGAGACGGAGCUGUGUUCUUCCUGAACUGCUGGCUGGCAGCAAACAGCUGGCUGUUUUUGGAUUCGUGAUCUCUCCCAAUCACUGGUGCCUUAGGAGAGGACUUAGAAAAGCUGCUGUUUGUGGAUCUGGAGAUUUGUUUCCUAGCAUUGUUGGGAGAGGACCUGUUUGUUCUGGUCAAUGUGCUCUCUUUCUGCCUUUCCGUGUGGUGUCUGUUGAAGUCGUGGAUGUAUUCCUGACAGUUCACGAGGUGCUGCUCUGGUUCCCAAGUGUUGUCCUCGCUGUUGUAGCCUUUUCGCUGAACCAAAUACUCUGUCUUCCCUUUUUAAUUUUUCCUUUUGUCAACAAUCUUUUCAAUCUAACCUGCCUUAGUUGGCAUAGACCAAUGUAAUUCAGUUCGCUCCUCCUCAAAUUUAAACAAUUCGUCAUUGAUGGCAAGUAGUACCCAAGAUAAGACUCUUCAGAUGAAGAAUCACAGCCUUUUCCCAUCUCAGAAGAACAAUGACUAAAAUUUUAAGUUUGCAGUCCUACGCUUUUCCGAAUUUAAAUGAUUUUGCUAAUAAUCAUAUCACCUCUAUCAAAAAUCUUUCUGAAUUUUAUUGUUAUGCA